GGAAGUAAAAAUCGUAACAAGGUCUCCGUUGGUGAACGCAGCGGAUGGUGAUUCAUUACCGAGUUUACAACGUCCCAAACCCAUAUGUGAACGUUACUAAACUGUUGCCUCGGUCGGGAUCUCUGCCCCAGGCGUGCGUCGCAGCCCCGGACCAAGGCGCCCGCCGGAGGACCAACCAAAACUCUUUUUGUAUACCCCCUCGCGGGUUUUUUUUAUAAUCUGAGCCUUCUCGGCGCCUCUCGUAGGCGUUUCGAAAAUGAAUCAAAACUUUCAACAACGGAUCUCUUGGUUCUGGCAUCGAUGAAGAACGCAGCGAAAUGCGAUAAGUAAUGUGAAUUGCAGAAUUCAGUGAAUCAUCGAAUCUUUGAACGCACAUUGCGCCCGCCAGUAUUCUGGCGGGCAUGCCUGUCCGAGCGUCAUUUCAACCCUCGAACCCCUCCGGGGGGUCGGCGUUGGGGAUCGGCCCUCCCUUAGCGGGUGGCCGUCUCCUAAAUACAGUGGCGGUCUCGCCGCAGCCUCUCCUGCGCAGUAGUUUGCACACUCGCAUCGGGAGCGCGGCGCGUCCACAGCCGUUAAACACCCAACUUCUGAAAUGUUGACCUCGGAUCAGGUAGGAAUACCCAGCUGAACUUAAGCAUAUCAAUAAGCGGAGGAAG
rnacentral:rRNA from 1 species